AGAGUUUGAUCAUGGCUCAGGAUGAACGCUAGCUACAGGCUUAACACAUGCAAGUCGAGGGGAAACGACAUCGAAAGCUUGCUUUUGAUGGGCGUCGACCGGCGCACGGGUGAGUAACGCGUAUCCAACCUGCCCAUCACUUGGGGAUAACCUUGCGAAAGUAAGACUAAUACCCAAUGAUAUCUCUAGAAGGCAUCUGAAAGAGAUUAAAGAUUUAUCGGUGAUGGAUGGGGAUGCGUCUGAUUAGCUUGUUGGCGGGGUAACGGCCACCAAAGCAACGAUCGAGUAGGGGUUCUGAGAGGAAGGUCCCCCANAUUGGAACUGGAGACACGGUCCAAACUCCGUACGGGAGGCA
rnacentral:rRNA from 1 species